GGCCUCGCGCGACAGGAGCGGCCGAUGUCUGAUUAGCUAGUUGGUGGGGUAAAAGCCUACCAAGGCGACGAUCAGUAGCUGGUCUGAGAGGACGAUCAGCCACACUGGGACUGAGACACGGCCCAGACUCCUACGGGAGGCAGCAGUGGGGAAUUUUGGACAAUGGGGGCAACCCUGAUCCAGCAAUGCCGCGUGUGUGAAGAAGGCCUUCGGGUUGUAAAGCACUUUUGUCCGGAAAGAAAACCUUCGCCCUAAUACGGUGGAGGGAUGACGGUACCGGAAGA
rnacentral:rRNA from 1 species